ACUGCCAACCUUCUUCAGCCUCUGAGCACUCCCUUGGAGGCCUUUGGGAUGACCACCUCUACCUCUGAAGAUCUUUGCUUGCUCCUUGGCACCAUCUUGAAAAAUGUAGACUCCCUUCUGCUAAGUAGCUGCAUUACUUGCCCCUAAACUUCCUUAGAGAAACCACAGCAUUCCUGUACCGACACUCGCUGUAUACCCUAACACGAUCUCUUCAGAGCCAUGUCGCUCUGAACUUGUGCCAAACUCUCUCUCCACCUAUGAAGCCACCU
rnacentral:lncRNA from 1 species